rnacentral:rRNA from 1 species
CGUGUAGGCGGACUCGCAAGUCGGUUCUGAAAUCCCUGGGCUUAACCUAGGAACUGCAUCCGAAACUGCUUGUCUUGAGUAAUGGAGAGGGUGGCGGAAUUCCCGGUGUAGAGGUGAAAUUCGUAGAUAUCGGGAGGAACAUCAGUGGCGAAGGCGGCCACCUGGACAUUUACUGACGCUGAGACGCGAAAGCGUGGGGAGCAAACAGGAUUAGAUACCCUGGUAGUCC